rnacentral:lncRNA from 1 species
CCUGUGGAGGACACGUGUAGUUUGGAGGAAGUAUAAAAAGGACUCCACAAACAGUGACAGAGGCUGAGCUAGGUUUGCUUAUAGAGCUAGCUGCGCAACACUUGUUGAUCUCUUGUCUUUGCUGCUCUUCACUUCUCUGAGAGAGGCACAGCUGAGAACCUCUCCUGGUGUUCCUCCAGGUCCCUCCUGCUGACUUGUGUAGAGGCUGAGUCCUGGCUGUCUCUGCUAGCUAGUGCCACCCACUGCUGAUUCCUGUUUGCUAUCCAGACUCUACCGAAUUGGACUGCUGCUGUAUCUGUGAAGUGUUUGCCAGUGGAUCACGCUGCUGCUGCUGCUGCUGCUGCUGCUGCUGCUGCUGCUAACCUGGGAACUGAAUUACCGACUUUCCGACAACACAGAUGGAAGUUGCUCCAAAGAGCCAUUUCUAAACAGUGUGGUCUCUGAAUUAUAUUCUGAAGUCUGUAUCCUAAAACUUUGUAUUUCUUAACCCUGGAUGGUUUUGAGGGAUUUUAAUCAAUGUAACAUGGGUUUGUUCACUGACCUGUUAGGAUGAUUGUACUUAAAUUGAGGUCUCUUAGCUAUCUAAUGGCCUGGAUAUAUGGCCCCUAAGCUUGCUGGUUCAAGUUUCUUGACUACUC